AACAUUCUGUUUCUGGGGGAACAUCCAGCUUCUGGCAAUCUCUUCGCAAACCAAUCAUCUGUGUUCAAGUGCUGGAUUCAGGCUCUGUUUUAGAAGAACCCAAAAGAGGACAGAAGGUGGCAGUUGAGCUGGGAGGAGUCGGUUGAGGGGAGGAGUGGGUUGAGGUUGUGUGUGCGCCCAGGGGGCAAGGUGCCUUCCACGUGGACAGCAUUACAGCUGUAAAGUUACCCAGGACCAGGAGUGGUCCUUGGAGGCCUAUUUCAAGGAUUUGGUCCAAAUCCAGAGCCUCGAGACAAUAAAAAGGCUGCUGAAUGGUUACUGAGGAGAACGGCUGAACUCUCACUGAGCUACUUCGACGGAGGAACCGAAUCGUUUGUAAUCCAUGAGACAAAAGAAGGGCCAUCUGUGGGUUUCAACCUAAACAGUAGUUGGACUCAGGCCAACCAAAGAUGCCUUUCUGAUGCAGGUUCAAAUGCCUCCAGCAGAUCAAACUGAAAAGUCAUUGAAGAAACAACUUUGUAACAUGGAGGG